rnacentral:rRNA from 1 species
UACAGAGGGUGCAAACGUUGCUCGGAAUUACUGGGCGUAAAGCGCGUGUAGGCGGUCGCGUAAGUCAGGUGUGAAAUCCCCGGGCUCAACCCGGGAACUGCACUUGAAACUGCGCGUCUUGAGUACUGGAGAGGGUAGUGGAAUUCCUGGUGUAGAGGUGAAAUUCGUAGAUAUCAGGAGGAACACCGGUGGCGAAGGCGGCUACCUGGACAGUCACUGACGCUGAGACGCGAAAGCGUGGGGAGCAAACAGG